rnacentral:rRNA from 1 species
UGCCAGCAGCCGCGGUAACACGGAGGGUGCAAGCGUUAUCCGGAAUCACUGGGCGUAAAGGGCACGUAGGCGGUCUUCUAAGUCCGAUGUUAAAGCGUGGGGCUCAACCCCAUCACGGCGUUGGAUACUGGUAGGCUUGACGACUGGAGAGGUGAGUAGAAUUACCAGUGUAGCGGUGGAAUGCGUAGAUACUGGUAGGAAUACCCAUUGCGAAGGCAGCUCACUGGACAGUACGUGACGCUGAGGUGCGAAAGUGUGGGGAGCAAACCGGAUUAGAUA